CUGUCAUAUUGAACUAGCUAGUAGCCUAGCCCUCCCACGUAGUAGUCUCUUUUGUGCGACCAACAGGAGGGGCACCGGCUCAUGGGCUAACUACACCUCCGGCCAGUUGGGGAGAAUCCGAGGCACGACAGCGGCCGUGGCGGGUCCACUAGUACCUCUUACCUGCUGACGACGGAACAGAGUUCAACCUGGAUUGACUGCAGACCCCUUGUGGCCACACAGAGGAAUUCUACUGAAGGACCACGUCACUCUUGUGACCAUAAGACUCUUUUAAAUACCUUUUCUAAUAAACAAAAACUUUUAUAAA